rnacentral:rRNA from 2 species
AUGGUGGUGUGUGGAAAGGGUUUACUGGUCUUGGAUGGGCUCACGGCCUAUCAGCUUGUUGGUGAGGUAAUGGCUCACCAAGGCGACGACGGGUAGCCGGCCUGAGAGGGUGACCGGCCACACUGGGACUGAGACACGGCCCAGACUCCUACGGGAGGCAGCAGUGGGGAAUAUUGCACAAUGGGCGAAAGCCUGAUGCAGCGACGCCGCGUGAGGGAUGACGGCCUUCGGGUUGUAAACCUCUUUCAGCAGGGAAGAAGCCACAAGUGACGGUACCUGCAGAAGAAGCGCCGGCUAACUACGUGCCAGCAGCCGCGGUAAUACGUAGGGCGCAAGCGUUGUCCGGAAUUAUUGGGCGUAAAGAGCUCGUAGGCGGUUUGUCGCGUCUGCUGUGAAAGCCCGGGGCUUAACCCCGGGUGUGCAGUGGGUACGGGCAGACUAGAGUGCAGUAGGGGAGACUGGAAUUCCUGGUGUAGCGGUGGAAUGCGCAGAUAUCAGGAGGAACACCGAUGGCGAAGGCAGGUCUCUGGGCUGUUACUGACGCUGAGGAGCGAAAGCAUGGGGAGCGAACAGGAUUAGAUACCCUGGUAGUCCAUGCCGUAAACGUUGGGCACUAGGUGUGGGGGACAUUCCACGUUUUCCGCGCCGUAGCUAACGCAUUAAGUGCCCCGCCUGGGGAGUACGGCCGCAAGGCUAAAACUCAAAGGAAUUGACGGGGGCCCGCACAAGCGGCGGAGCAUGCGGAUUAAUUCGAUGCAACGCGAAGAACCUUACCAAGGCUUGACAUAUACCGGAUCGUUCCAGAGAUGGUUCUUCCCCUUUGGGGUCGGUAUACAGGUGGUGCAUGGUUGUCGUCAGCUCGUGUCGUGAGAUGUUGGGUUAAGUCCCGCAACGAGCGCAACCCUCGUUCCAUGUUGCCAGCACGUGAUGGUGGGGACUCAUGGGAGACUGCCGGGGUCAACUCGGAGGAAGGUGGGGAUGACGUCAAAUCAUCAUGCCCCUUAUGUCUUGGGCUUCACGCAUGCUACAAUGGCCGGUACAAAGGGUUGCGAUACUGUGAGGUGGAGCUAAUCCCAAAAAGCCGGUCUCAGUUCGGAUUGAGGUCUGCAACUCGACCUCAUGAAGUCGGAGUCGCUAGUAAUCGCAGAUCAGCAACGCUGCGGUGAAUACGUUCCCGGGCCUUGUACACACCGCCCGUCAAGUC